rnacentral:rRNA from 1 species
CGGGAGGCAGCAGUAGGGAAUCUUCCACAAUGGACGAAAGUCUGAUGGAGCAACGCCGCGUGAGUGAAGAAGGGUUUCGGCUCGUAAAACUCUGUUGUUAAAGAAGAACAUAUCUGAGAGUAACUGUUCAGGUAUUGACGGUAUUUAACCAGAAAGCCACGGCUAACUACGUGCCAGCAGCCGCGGUAAUACGUAGGUGGCAAGCGUUGUCCGGAUUUAUUGGGCGUAAAGCGAGCGCAGGCGGUUUUUUAAGUCUGAUGUGAAAGCCUUCGGCUCAACCGAAGAAGUGCAUCGGAAACUGGGAAACUUGAGUGCAGAAGAGGACAGUGGAACUCCAUGUGUAGCGGUGAAAUGCGUAGAUAUAUGGAAGAACACCAGUGGCGAAGGCGGCUGUCUGGUCUGUAACUGACGCUGAGCUCGAAAGUAUGGGUAGCAAACAGGAUUAGAUACCCUGGUAGUCCAUACCGUAAACGAUGAAUGCUAAGUG